UUCCGUCAAUAAAUUCCUCCCAAAACCUCCAUGAGAGUCCAAGGUUAAGAUGGAGCUUGAAGAUGGUUAUUCAAUGGAUUUCUUCUUCAAUUUUCAUCGUUUUAUUCAAAUAAGAUGUUCAUUUCCAUGGGCAAGGGCCUUAUGGUGUUGACUUGGUUCAUUUGGCAUCUAAUUGAGGUGUUGAGGUUGUUGUGGUGGGAAUUAGAAAUAUUGAUGUGCCAUGGAGGUUGGAUAGGUUUUUCAAGCUCUGAAUCUGAACUAUUGGUGAGUCCUCAUCGAUUCAAGGACAUAUAAACAUGUUCCUUAUAUCAUAGACUUCAUUUUAUUAUAUUGUAUGGGAUUAGUCCCAUGUUUUGUAUACUCUAAAGUUUAGAUGG